rnacentral:rRNA from 1 species
AGUGAACGCUGGCGGUAGGCCUAACACAUGCAAGUCGAACGGCAGCACAGUAAGAGCUUGCUCUUACGGGUGGCGAGUGGCGGACGGGUGAGGAAUACAUCGGAAUCUACUUUUUCGUGGGGGAUAACGUAGGGAAACUUACGCUAAUACCGCAUACGACCUACGGGUGAAAGCAGGGGAUCUUCGGACCUUGCGCGAUUGAAUGAGCCGAUGUCGGAUUAGCUAGUUGGCGGGGUAAAGGCCCACCAAGGCGACGAUCCGUAGCUGGUCUGAGAGGAUGAUCAGCCACACUGGGACUGAGACACGGUCGAGACUCCUACAAGAGGCAGCAGUGGGGAAUAUUGGACAAUGGGCGCGAGCCUGAUCCAGCCAUACCGCGUGGGUGAAGAAGGCCUUCGGGUUGUAAAGCCCUUUUGUUGAGAAAGAAAAGCAGCAGGUUAAUACCCCGCUGUUCUGACGGUACCCACAAAAUAAGCACCGGCUAACUUCGUG